rnacentral:rRNA from 1 species
GAUGAACGCUGGCGGCGUGCCUAAUACAUGCAAGUCGAGCGAACAGACGAGAAGCUUGCUCCUCUGAUGUUAGCGGCGGACGGGUGAGUAACACGUGGAUAACCUACCUAUAAGACUGGGAUAACUUCGGGAAACCGGAGCUAAUACCGGAUAAUAUAUUGAACCGCAUGGUUCAAUAGUGAAAGACGGUCUUGCUGUCACUUAUAGAUGGAUCCGCGCCGCAUUAGCUAGUUGGUAAGGUAACGGCUUACCAAGGCAACGAUGCAUAGCCGACCUGAGAGGGUGAUCGGCCACACUGGAACUAAGAGACAGUCCAGACUCCUACGGGAGGCAGCAGUAGGGAGUCUUCCGCAAUGGGCGAAAGCCUGACGGAGCAACGCCGCGUGAGUGAUGAAGGUCUUCGGAUCGUAAAAAUCUGUUUUUAGGGAAGAAAAUAUAUGUAAGUAACUGUGCACAUCUUUACGGUACCUAAUCAGAAAGCCACGCCUAACUACGUG